rnacentral:lncRNA from 1 species
UUCCACUCCUGUAUAACAGAAAAUCCUCUGAUUUCAACGAGAUCACACCCUGAGUGGUUAGUUAAUACUGGAAACAUAAAAAGAAUAGACAUACCACAGAGAGCAUCAGAGGAAAUUGCCUCUAUCUUCCCUAGUGGAGAGCAUCCAUGAUGUUCUGCAGUGACUACACUGGGCCAGGAGAAGAAAUGACUGCUGCUCAUAAGUGAACAGAAAAACAGAAGAUUAACUAGGUCUGCAACAGGGAUAACAUCUCACUUUGCUUGCAACAGUAGCUGCAGCAGUACCCUGCAGUAUAGGAGCACAAGCCUACUUCAUUAAAUACUGCAUGAUUAUACGAAGUGUUAAAACACAGAAAUCAGAACCAACUAUACUACCUAUAAUAUGC